rnacentral:rRNA from 1 species
UACGUAGGGGGCGAGCGUUGUCCGGAUUCAUUGGGCGUAAAGCGCUUUAAGGCGGUUCGCUAAGUCGCGUGUGAAACCUCCAGGCUCAACCUGGAGACGCCACGCGAUACUGGCGUGACUAGAGUUCGGUAGGGGAUCACGGAAUUCCUGGUGUAGCGGUGAAAUGCGCAGAUAUCAGGAGGAACACCAGUGGCGAAGGCGGUGAUCUGGGCCGACACUGACGCUGUAGAGCGAAAGCGUGGGGAGCGAACAGG